rnacentral:lncRNA from 1 species
GGGGCCGAGGGCAAAUGUAACCAAAUUUAAGCUUUUGUGCUCGCUUCUGAUUAACAUUUCAAAUCGGUUCGAAACGCGCAUUUUAUAUUGAAAUUUAUGAUUAUUCCAGAAUGACAAAUAAGUGCUUUGGCACGUGUAGCUGAAGGGGGAUUUCGGAUGGCGGCAUUGGAAGCAUGUCUCAUUAUGAAGUUCGAACAAUAGUUGAUGUCUGUAGGCCUAUUUAUCGGACUCUUUUUGUGAGCCAGACAUUCUGGCGACACUAAUUAAAUGUCCGCCCGCCAUUACUAAAUCAAAACAAUUCCAAGGCAGGCCAAACAACAGCCCAAGGAUGCAGAUACUUGUACAAAGGACGGACGAGACGGGACCAGUUAACUAUUUGCCUUGCCUCUCUCUGGCCUAAGGAUGGUCGGGUCUGCCUGUCCGUGUGUCUGUGUUCCGAAAAUCGUAAAUUCUGGAUGUUGUUAAAAAACUUUUGGCAGAGGCAUACAUAAAUCUGCGGCCAGUGAGCGAACAACAACAGCGAACAGAAGCAGCGCUGAGAAGUCAGUCCACUAACGAGCCAAAAUCGUUGACUGGAAAUCCUUGAGCAGGAAUAAUGCCUAUAAAUAUGCUAGGGAAUUGUCUGUGCCCCUUUGUGGGAUUCAAUUGACUCGGAGGCGAAACUUUUACCCAAACGGAGGAGGUCAGCAUCGUAAUUUGUUUGUGCCGAAUAUAUAGGGGGGAAAAGUUCGGGGUUGCGAGUUCUUGAAAUCCAAACGAGACUCACAAUUGCCACUGUUUGUGCGCGCUUUAGGCGAUCUAUCUGGCAAAUCGAUGAAGUAAUAUGUAUGUAUUCCGUCGCCAGUUCCAGCUGAUUGUUUAAACAAAGAAGGUAAUUACGCACUGCCAUCGGGCGGCACUGGGGCACGGGGCAAUUACACGCAGAUUACCACGUAAUUUAUGAAUUAUGCAAAGGCCAAAUAAAAUACUAUAAAACAAGGCCCCAGACCAGGUCCCUCCCAUAAAUAUGCCAACCGGCUUAGUCGCCUGCCCAUAAACUAUAUACGAGCACAGUCUGUUCAAAUGUAAAUACGAGUAUGCCCCAUGCGGCUACUCGCCACUGGAGGAGUGCUCCCAUUUUGGACUGUUAGCGGCUCCCGUUCCAGAGCCUGGCAACCGUUGGGCGUCAGCUUCGGCGGAAGUACUUGGAGCGGCGGAAAUACAAAUGAAGUUAGUCAUAUCAGUGGAACUUACUUAGCAAACAUUUGUAUGGUAUUUCGUAUUGUUAGUAGAACUUUUCGGCUUGUUGUUGCUCAGGGGACACAGUUAUUAAAAAUGGAGUCUUCCAGGAAGCCUGCAACUGUACUUAAAUUGGAAUUCCCCUUAAAACUGCUCUGGAAUUUCCACCAAUUCGCGGUAAAAAAACAAAAGUCAGCAAAAUCAGCAACAUGGAAAAAAUGACACUUGAUUCGUUUGUGUUUUUGUUAAAGCAAUUUGUGCGGCAAAUGUUGUAUUUUUUGUAUUUUUUCUAUGUGCGUGUAUGGGCUUAAAUAUAAUAUUGCACUCAACAAAUAAAUCGUCCAACUCUCCUUUGGUCGACCCUUGUCGCUCCCCCCGUCUCCACUUGGCCAUUGUUCGCGACAAUAGACGUCUGCGUAUGGCUUUUCACUUUAAUUGUGUGAAAUUAUUUUGAAAAAGUGUUGGCCCCUCGCUUUUCGUUUUCGUUUUCGCUUUCGUUUUUCCCUUUUUGUUGUUAACGAUUCGUUUAGCACAAGGCCAUAUUUAUUU